AAGGAUUGCGAUGCAUCAUUAGCAUGGAAGAAUAGCUGCUAUCAGUUCAUAAUUAAACUUCAAUAAGUUUCGUUGAUGAACAGCUUUAAGUAUUCAACAAAGGGAGCAGUUUCACACUGCUUAAGCAAUAUUUUGUGUAACCUGACAUGGAAACUAUGAACAGCUUUAAGUAUUCAACAAAGUGAGCAGUUUCACACUGCUUAAGCAAUAUUUUGUGUAACCUGACAUGGAAACCAUCAGCCUCCAUUCAAAGUCAAGUUGGGUUCAAUAAUUAAAUUGUAGAAUACAUUUUCAAUAAGACGAGUUCGAGUACAAUCUCCAAUUUUCCAUAUUUGAUA
rnacentral:lncRNA from 1 species